rnacentral:rRNA from 1 species
GUCCAUGCUGUAAACGAUGGACACUUGUUGUUGGAGGUAUUGACCCCUUCAGUGACGAAGCUAACGCGUUAAGUGUCCCGCCUGGGAAGUACGGUCGCAAGAUUAAAACUCAAAGAAAUUGACGGGGCCCGCACAAGCGGUGGAGUAUGUGGUUUAAUUCGAUGCAACGCGAAAAACCUUACCUGGGCUCGAACUGCAGGGGAAUAUUCUAGAGAUAGAAUAGCCUUCGGGCCGCUGCAGAGGUGCUGCAUGGCUGUCGU